rnacentral:rRNA from 1 species
UAGGGAAUAUUGGUCAAUGGGCGGGAGCCUGAACCAGCCAUGCCGCGUGCGGGAAGAAGGCCCUACGGGUCGUAAACCGCUUUUAUACGGGAACAACCGCAGCUACGUGUAGCUGUCUGAGUGUACCGUAGGAAUAAGGAUCGGCUAACUCCGUGCCAGCAGCCGCGGUAAUACGGAGGAUCCGAGCGUUAUCCGGAAUUAUUGGGUUUAAAGGGUGCGUAGGCGGCCUGUUAAGUCAGGGGUGAAAGUCGGCAGCUCAACUGUCGCAGUGCCUUUGAUACUGUUUGGCUUGAAUUCGGUUGAAGAUGGCGGAAUGAGACAAGUAGCGGUGAAAUGCAUAGAUAUGUCUCAGAACCCCGAUUGCGAAGGCAGUAUCUAAGCCGUUAUUGACGCUGAUGCACGAAAGACGUGGGGAGCAAACAGGAUUAGAUACCC